rnacentral:misc_RNA from 1 species
AAAGUGCGAUAACUAGUGUGAAUUGCAUAUUCAGUGAAUCAUCGAGUCUUUGAACGCAUCUUGCACCUGCUGGUAUUCCAGCAGGUACGCCUGUUUCAGUAUCAGAAACAACUCUUCCCUUAAGAUUUUUUUCUUAAGGGGACAUUGAGGGUAUCUGGCUUAGAAGUAAAAUCUCUAGCCCGGAGAUGCUUUAAAUGACUUAAGGCCUGCAAGCCAAAGUUUGAUUGCGCCUGAACUUUUUCUUAAUUUCAAGCGAAAGCUCUUGCGAACUAGAACUUUAUUAUUGCCUUGGGGGCCUCCCAAAGAAAACAUUCAACAACUUGAUCUGAAAUCAGGUGGGAUUACCCGCUGAACUUAA